rnacentral:lncRNA from 1 species
CUAUGGUACACUUGUCUUUAGAAGACGGAUUUUUUUUAAGUAACUGAAAAAGGAGGUAAUUAUUUUAAGCUUUAAUAUAGUUUUUGUUGCUGGGGAGCCAAAACAUACACACACACAUGCACACACACACACACACACACACAGGCAAAGAAUUUUUUUUUUCCUUUGGGAAAACAGUAAUAUGUGUAAACUGGUUUGGAGGAAGUUUAUUGUUUCCCAGCCAGAAUGACAUUUAGGAUAUUUGAAUUCAUUGAUCAUAGUUUUAGGUAAAUAAACACUGAAAUAGGGUCAGCUUUUAGAUAUAUGGAUGGGCUGGGAUGCAAGAGAAAGGCUGGCUUCGGGUCCAGGCUUUGCCUUUGAUGGGCUAUGUACCUGGGACUUGUUUAUUUUGCUUUUUUUGGAGCUUCAGUUUCCUCACCUCUGAAUUGAGUGGAUGAAAGGACCGUCAAGGUUUGCCACGUCCUCAUUCCCUGCUUCUGUGAUCUGAUCUUCUCAGAUCCAGAUCCCUUUGUGAGCAGAAGAUGCAGGCAGGGACCAGGAUCCCCAUGAAUGAGGUAGGCUACCUGCAGGUGUGCAUCCCUCCAUGCCAUGGCUUUGAUGGGUUGGCGCCGACAGCAAGCUUUUUUGCAUGGGAAAAAGUUCCCUUCCAAUUACACAGCAGUUUUGUGGUGGCUGAGGGGCUAUAAUGGGAAUGCUUUGCAGCCAAAGCACUCUCAUUCAUAAAUUCCACUGUGACACUCUCUCUAAUUUUUUUCUCUUUUGGAUAGAUCAGUAUUCUGUGGUUUCCUCCACCACAGCCAUGCAAGCAAAAAUGGGGGCCCAGGAAAGAGGCUACUUGUCCGAGAUCCUACAGCUAGUGGGCAUCUGAACCAGGAUCUCUUUCUACCCCAUCCCAUUAGCCCUCCUGGGAAGAGUUAGGGUGGAAUUUCUGAGACUUCCACAGCAAUUAGGUGCUCAGACACUAGAUCAAGGGGAACUUUCAAAGUGUUGUUGAUAGUCUUGCUAAUAGGUCAGGCAGCCCAAAACAGCGCAAAUAUUAUGAGGUGAUCAGCACUACACCAAGGAAUGGCUUAGGAAUGAGGUCUGAUCCCCACUCUCCAUAGUCUCUAUCAGCUACCCACUGGCCUUCUUAAAUGCAGUCUAAGUUAAUGUGUGUUUGCUUGCUGUGAGGCAUGGCCUCUUUGCUAAUUUCUUUCACCCCCAUACUCUCCUCCUGUAUGGAAAUACUAGUGCCACCCUGCAUUUGAUUUUUUUUAAGUUGUUUUGACCGUCUGAAGAACACUGGUGUGGUAGUGUGAGAAAGAAAGACAGAAAAUAAUGAUUGAGUGCUGAAUGUUAAGCAAAGUGCUAGGAGAGGGUAUGUUAGGGCAGCCUAACCUGGUCUGGGGAUGAACAGUGGUCUGAGAAGGCUCCUGGAAGAAGCGACAUUGUAUUAGUAACUUGGAGGAGUAAGGGUUAGCUAGGAGGGGAUGGGGUUGAGGCCUGGUCUUGGAUAAAUGAUAGAUUAAUAGGAGGAGGAAUUUAGUAGCUCUCUGAAAAGUGUUCAAGUCAUCAGUGUGAACUAGCACAAUGUCCAUGUGUCUACAACAUCAGGAAUGGGAGGAGUGUACAGGAGAUAAGGUUCUGGCCUUCAAACACUAUUUUCACUGACAAUUUCUCUUUCCUUGCUUGAAUAAUCCCACUAGCAAUCUAAAGAAAGAACUUUUAUUCCAAAGAAACAUACUCAUAAAGCUGUGAGUUGUUAAAGAGAACAUGUGAGUUUCUCAUAUUCCUACCUUCCACUCCUCCUGUUUGCCCACCCUUUCCUCCAACUCCACAUUCAACUUAGGAUAGUUUUAUUUACACAAUGAGGUCUGAUUGUUUUGGGGCUUUCUUUGUCAUAUAUCAUGCCAUUUAAUGGUAAGCAAUACAUUUGUGACUAUUCUUUUAGGAUGCAUCAGACUUUCCCUAUAAAUCUGAACAGAGUGAGUGGUAUGGAAAACUAGCUGCUAGAAUUUUGUUUUUGCGAGUAAAAGGCAACGUAACAUAAAAAUUAAACAAACAUCUUCCUUUCCAAUCACUAUCUGCAUGUUACAAACCAUGUAGAUUUGUAACUUUGCCAAUACACUAUGGUGGAGGAAGGGUGCCUCUGUUCCAAGGGCUUCACUCCUUGGAGAUGUGUUUUCAGACCGUGGAACACAGUGGGGUCAAGUCUAUCAGUAUGAGGCACAGGGACAAUGGGGAGACUAAUUUAAAAAGCAUAAUGUGGGCAUCAGACAGAAUUGGGUUUAAAUUUCUGUAUUUUCCUCACCAGUCAAAAGGCGUUGCUUGGUUCAGUCUGAACUUCAUUUCCCUAUCUGUACAAUGGGCACAAUUUGUUUUUCAUAAGGUUUUUAGUGCUGUAUCUAUCAUGUAAUGAUCAUAGAAUCUGAUACAGCCUCUUGAUUCUCUUUUUUCUGAAGCCAUUUGCAUAAAAUGAGUCUCACAAACUUAGCUUUUUUUUUUUUUUAGUGAGAAAAUUCUGGCAUCUGAUGUAGAAAAUAAAUUAAUACCUGCUUAAGAGUUCUGUUUUCUGCAGUGAAGCACAGCUGUUAUUACUGUUAAUGGCCCCAAGCUUUCACGAUUCCCAAACCAGAAAAACAAGCGCAAGAUCUUUGCUAUGUUGAAGGGAGAACUGGGAAGGCAAGGUCUCAAUUCAGGGCCAUUUGGAAAUAUUAAUAUAAUCAUUUAAUUUCAUAAUUUCUUUUAGCAUUUGGCUCGAUGACUUUACAAUAUUUUUUUAAAAGUCAAAUGCUAACAAAGAGAAAACUUCGAGUACUUCUUCUUGCAUUUUCUUGCAUUGAAGGCUCUUCUUGCAUUUUUUCUUUUUUUUCCUCUCUGUCCAUCUGUCC